rnacentral:rRNA from 1 species
CCUGAACGCUGGCGGCGUGGCUAAGACAUGCAAGUCGAACGGGUGUAGCAAUACACCAGUGGCGGACGGGUGAGUAAUGUAUCGCUAACGUGCCCUGGAAUCUGAGGUAGCCAAUCGAAAGGUUGGGUAAUACCAGAUGAAAUAUCCUUAUCGCAUGAUGAGGAUCUCAAAGGAGCAAUCCGGUCUGGGGAGCGGGCGAUAUCGUAUCAGCUAGUUGGUGAGGUAACGGCUCACCAAGGCGACGACGCAUAGCCGGGCUGAGAGGUCGGCCGG